UGCCAUAAUGCAGAGCUCCAGACAGUCGCACUCAAAUAACGGAGAUAUCAUUCUCGAAAUGUAUGUAGAAAUCAUUACACAUUCCUGUAAAUGGUUAAUUGUUUGGCAUCUUUAUGGAAACAUUUAGCACGAAAAACGGUAUCCGGCAAUCGCUGAUUGGAGCGGAACUAUAUAUAAACAUUCUGUUUUCCUUCUGUUGGAAUUUGCUGGUCAAAGAAGAUAUCUCUAUUAUCCAGAAAGAGUGCGAUUUUUUGUGAUAACAAUCCACGUCCGCCAUUUUGAUCGUCAUAGCGCGCAGUGAAAUGCGCAUGCGCAACAGAAUAGUCCCUUUUUGCACGACUAAGGCAUGAGAAUAAAAAAAAUAAAUAAAUAAGAACUUCAAACAAAGCUUGGGAUAGAGUAAAAAUUUGAUCAUUGUUCAAUUUAAUUUGUUUAAUCAUAACCUUUUCAUAACUAGAUUCCUGUGUAUUUUCCUCUUGAGAAAGACAUGACGCAAUGCUUUUGCAUACUAAUAAGGGGAGUCCCCGCCAAUCUGACUUUCACUUUCGCUAGUAGAAUUUCCUGUUUGAGUGUUUAGCGGGGCUCACAUUUACUCAGUUCACUGGCUUUUGGACUUAUAGAGCCUGCACCGCCUAACUCAUCAAUAGCAGGCUUCAUCAUUUCUUUAUUGCAUUAGCUUCCGCCAAAACCAGCACAAGCGCGGGUUGGAAAUUCCAGAGGGGUGGGGGUUCAUACCUCAGAACCCCUCCUUGGGGGAGGGGGUAUGAAUAUUUUCUAGAACUACACAUUCAGCCUUCGCAUAGCCGUUUUCACCCGAUCGACUUGUACAAUAAGGACUUAAAUCAUCAAUCAGGAUUUGACACGAGUGGCAAAUAGAGAAUAGGAGCCAAGGCCAGCAACUCUCGAAUAAUCAACGCGUCAGAUAUCGCAUACAAGAUCAAAUCUAACUUUAGACGAUCAUGCUGAUCAUGAAGUCGGGCCAGCUCCAUGAAAGUGGAAUAAAAAUGCGUAAUAAACAUUUUAUGAAAUAAAAGAUUGUAAGGAAA